UUGGCUAAUCCUGGUCGGACAUCAGGAGGUUAGUGCAAUGGCAUAAGCCAGCUUGACUGCGAGCGUGACGGCGCGAGCAGGUGCGAAAGCAGGUCAUAGUGAUCCGGUGGUUCUGAAUGGAAGGGCCAUCGCUCAACGGAUAAAAGGUACUCCGGGGAUAACAGGCUGAUACCGCCCAAGAGUUCAUAUCGACGGCGGUGUUUGGCACCUCGAUGUCGGCUCAUCACAUCCUGGGGCUGAAGUAGGUCCCAAGGGUAUGGCUGUUCGCCAUUUAAAGUGGUACGCGAGCUGGGUUUAGAACGUCGUGAGACAGUUCGGUCCCUAUCUGCCGUGGGCGCUGGAGAACUGAGGGGGGCUGCUCCUAGUACGAGAGGACCGGAGUGGACGCAUCACUGGUGUUCGGGUUGUCAUGCCAAUGGCACUGCCCGGUAGCUAAAUGCGGAAGAGAUAAGUGCUGAAAGCAUCUAAGCACGAAACUUGCCCCGAGAUGAGUUCUCCCUGACUCCUUGAGAGUCCUGAAGGAACGUUGAAGACGACGACGUUGAUA
rnacentral:rRNA from 1 species